rnacentral:rRNA from 1 species
UACAGAGGUCCCGAGCGUUGUUCGGAUUCAUUGGGCGUAAAGGGUGCGUAGGCGGUCGCGCAAGUCGGAUGUGAAAUCUCAGGGCUCAACCCUGAAACUGCAUUCGAUACUGCGUGGCUAGAGUGCUGGAGAGGAGACUGGAAUUUACGGUGUAGCAGUGAAAUGCGUAGAUAUCGUAAGGAAGACCAGUGGCGAAGGCGAGUCUCUGGACAGCAACUGACGCUGAGGCACGAAGGCCAGGGGAGCAAACGGG